rnacentral:lncRNA from 1 species
AAGAAGCGCACCAAAGCCAUGUUGUGUACAUUUUUCAGUCUUCAAUUAAACCUGAAAUAAGAAAAGUUAAACUGUUGAUCAAUCCAAAUUAUACAAACCCUUAAAUGAAAAGAUAAUAAAGUUGUAAAAAAUCGAAAGUAUAAUUUUAUCAAUUGCGAUUGAAAAGGGAAUAUAGGAUAAGACUGAGAUCAUAGGCCAUAACCAAAGCACAAGAAGACGAACAUGUCCAUACUGAAAAAUAUGGAUCCAGGAUUUUUUGGCAAUGAACCUAAUCUCAUCCUCCAAGAAGAAAAAAAAUCCAUAAAAAAGACAGAAAAUAGAAAAGGACGAAUAAACUCACCAUAACAACAAAAAUGGAACCAAAAUCGAAAUUGGAGACAAAUUCAUUAAUGUACAAGCAAGGAUCACAAACUAAUACCUCAAUCCUUCUCAACCAUUUUACAUCACAAAUAUAUCCUUCACAACUUCUUUUUUUUCCUCCACUUCAUCUUUUGAUUUAAUUAAUCUUAUCUAUAUGAUCGUAAAAUUUCUUUUAUCUUCAUCUUUAAUUAAUAUUGUCUUACUAAUCUUACUAAUUC